GAUGAACGCUGGCGGCGUGCCUAAUACAUGCAAGUCGAGCGAACGGACGAGAAGCUUGCUUCUCUGAUGUUAGCGGCGGACGGGUGAGUAACACGUGGAUAACCUACCUAUAAGACUGGGAUAACUUCGGGAAACCGGAGCUAAUACCGGAUAAUAUUUUGAACCGCAUGGUUCAAAAGUGAAAGACGGUCUUGCUGUCACUUAUAGAUGGAUCCGCGCUGCAUUAGCUAGUUGGUAAGGUAACGGCUUACCAAGGCAACGAUGCAUAGCCGACCUGAGAGGGUGAACGGCCACACUGGAACUGAGACACGGUCCAGACUCCUACGGGAGGCAGCAGUAGGGAAUCUUCCGCAAUGGGCGAAAGCCUGACGGAGCAACGCCGCGUGAGUGAUGAAGGUCUUCGGAUCGUAAAACUCUGUUAUUAGGGAAGAACAUAUGUGUAAGUAACUGUGCACAUCUUGGCGGUACCUAAUCAGAAAGCCACGGCUAACUACGUG
rnacentral:rRNA from 1 species